UACAGAGGUCUCAAGCGUUGUUCGGAUUCAUUGGGCGUAAAGGGUGCGUAGGUGGUCGGGUAAGUUUGAUGUGAAAUCUCCGGGCUUAACCCGGAAAUGGCAUUGAAUACUAUUCGGCUGGAGGGUUGGAGGGGGGACUGGAAUUCUCGGUGUAGCAGUGAAGUGCGUAGAUAUCGAGAGGAACACCAGUGGCGAAGGCGAGUCCCUGGACAACUCCUGACACUAAGGCACGAAAGCGAGGGGAGCAAACAGG
rnacentral:rRNA from 1 species